CAAUAGCGUAUAUUAAUGUUGUUGCAGUUAAAAAGCUCGUAGUUGGAUUCCUGGCACGGGGUAGCCGGUCCGCCUUGCAAAAGGUGCGCACUGAGCGGCCUCGGCCAUCCUUGGGAAGAGCGGUCCUGGCAUUUAGUUGUCGGGGCCGGGAUUCCCGACGUUUACUGUGAAAAAUCAGAGUGUUCAAAGCAGGCUUACGCCUUGAAUACAUUAGCAUGGAAUAAUGAGAUAGGACCUUGGCGGUCUAUUUUGUUGGUUUGCACGCCGAGGUAAUGAUUAAAAGGGACGGUUGGGGUUCUUCGUAUUCAAUUGUCAGAGGUGAAAUUCUUGGAUUUAUGGAAGACGAACUGCUGCGAAAGCAUUUACCAAGGAUGUUUUCAUUAAUCAAGAACGAAAGUUAGGGGAUCGAAGACGAUUAGAUACCAU
rnacentral:rRNA from 1 species